CGGAGAGUAGUGGUGUCAGGGGUCGUUCAGGGCCAUGUGGAGCACGUUGCGGAGAGUGGAGUGGUGUCCAUUAUCGGGACUUGCCAGAGAGUGGUGGAGCUGCAUGAAAUCCAUUGCAGGGAGUGGAGCAGGAGGGCGGCUCUUGUCGUGACUCAUCAGAGAGUGGUGGAGCUGCAUGAAAUCCGUCGCAGGGAGUGGAGCAGGAGGGUGGCUC
rnacentral:lncRNA from 1 species